CCAAUAGCGUAUAUUAAAGUUGUUGUGGUUAAAAAGCUCGUAGUUGAACCUUGGGCCUGGCUGGCCGGUCCGCCUCACCGCGUGUACUGGUCCGGCCGGGCCUUUCCCUCUGUGGAACCUCAUGCCCUUCACUGGGUGUGACGGGGAAGCAGGACUUUUACUGUGAAAAAAUUAGAGUGCUCCAAGCAGGCCUAUGCUCGAAUACAUUAGCAUGGAAUAAUAAAAUAGGACGUGCGGUUCUAUUUUGUUGGUUUCUAGGACCGCCGUAAUGAUUAAUAGGGACAGUCGGGGGCAUCAGUAUUCAAUUGUCAGAGGUGAAAUUCUUGGAUUUAUUGAAGACUAACUACUGCGAAAGCAUUUGCCAAGGAUGUUUUCAUUAAUCAGGAACGAAAGUUAGGGGAUCGAAGACGAUCAGAUACCGUCGUAGUCUUAACCAUAAACUAUGUCGACUAGCGAUCCGCGGCCGUUGUUCAUAUGACUUCGCGGGCAGCCUUCG
rnacentral:misc_RNA from 1 species